UCAAUAAGCGGAGGAAAAGAAACCAACAGGGAUUGCCCCAGUAACGGCGAGUGAAGCGGCAACAGCUCAAAUUUGAAAUCUGGCUCUCAGGGCCCGAGUUGUAAUUUGUAGAGGAUGCUUUUGGCGAGGUGCCUUCCGAGUUCCCUGGAACGGGACGCCACAGAGGGUGAGAGCCCCGUAUGGUCGGACACCGAGCCUCUGUAAAGCUCCUUCGACGAGUCGAGUAGUUUGGGAAUGCUGCUCAAAAUGGGAGGUAUAUGUCUUCUAAAGCUAAAUAUUGGCCAGAGACCGAUAGCGCACAAGUAGAGUGAUCGAAAGAUGAAAAGCACUUUGAAAAGAGGGUUAAAAAGUACGUGAAAUUGUUGAAAGGGAAGCGCUUAUGACCAGACUUGCGCCCGGUGAAUCACCCAGCGUUCUCGCUGGUGCACUUUGCCGGGCACAGGCCAGCAUCAGUUCAGCGCGGGGGAGAAAGGCUUCGGGAAUGUGGCUCCCCCGGGAGUGUUAUAGCCCGCUGCGUAAUGCCCUGCGCCGGACUGAGGUACGCGCAUUGCAAGGAUGCUGGCGUAAUGGUCAUCAGCGACCCGUCUUGAAACACGGACCAAGGAGUCGUCUUCGUAUGCGAGUGUUCGGGUGUCAAACCCCUACGCGUAAUGAAAGUGAACGUAGGUGAGAGCUUCGGCGCAUCACCGACCGAUCCUGAUGUUCUCGGAUGGAUUUGAGUAAGAGCAUACGGGGCCGGACCCGAAAGAAGGUGAACUAUGCCUGUAUAGGGUGAAGCCAGAGGAAACUCUGGUGGAGGCUCGCAGCGGUUCUGACGUGCGAAUCGAUCGUCAAAUAUGGGCAUGGGGGCGAAAGACUAAUCGAACCUUCUAGCAGCUGGUUUC
rnacentral:rRNA from 1 species